AUUAAGUUCAUUUUUCAGUUUAGAUAUACAAUGUUUUGACUCUUCGUCUUAUUUAAAAUUUUUUUGCGAUUAAUAUUUUUAUUGUUACUAGAUGGUAAAACAUGAAUAGUACUUUAUACAUGACUAAUUUUUUAAAGUUUUUUUUUACAAAAUUUUCAAAUAAGACGAAUGGUCGAACGGUUGGACACAAAAAUCGAAAAAUGAAGUUAUU
rfam:Oryza brachyantha chromosome 7, whole genome shotgun sequence.